CCUACGGGAGGCAGCAGUGGGGAAUAUUGCACAAUGGGGGAAACCCUGAUGCAGCGACGCCGCGUGAGCGAUGAAGUAUUUCGGUAUGUAAAGCUCUAUCAGCAGGGAAGAAAAUGACGGUACCUGACUAAGAAGCCCCGGCUAACUACGGGCCAGCAGCCGCGGGAAGACGUAGGGGGCAAGCGGGAUCCGGAUUUACUGGGUGUAAAGGGAGCGUAGACGGCUGUGCCAGCCCGAUGGGAAAGCCCGGGGCUCAACCCCGGGACUGCAUUUGGAACGGUGGGGCGGGAGUGUCGGAGUGGCAGGCGGAAUUCCUAGUGUAGCGGUGAAAUGCGUAGAUAUUAGGAGGAACCCGCGUGGCGACGGCGGCCUGCUGUACGAUGACUGACG
rnacentral:rRNA from 1 species